UACGGGAGGCAGCAGUGGGAAUAUUGCACAAUGGGCGCAAGCCUGAUGCAGCCAUGCCGCGUGUAUGAAGAAGGCCUUCGGGUUGUAAAGUACUUUCAGUCGUGAGGAAGGUGUUAAGGUUAAUAACCUUAGCAAUUGACGUUAGCGACAGAAGAAGCACCGGCUAACUCCGUGCCAGCAGCCGCGGUAAUACGGAGGGUGCGAGCGUUAAUCGGAAUUACUGGGCGUAAAGGGCACGCAGGCGGUUAAUUAAGUUGGAUGUGAAAUCCCCGGGCUUAACCUGGGAAUGGCAUUCAAGACUGGUUAGCUAGAGUCUUGUAGAGGGGGUAGAAUUCCGAUGUGUAGCGGUGAAAUGCGUAGAGAUGUGGAGGAAUACCGGUGGCGAAGGCGGCCCCUGGACAAAGACUGACGCUCAUGUGCGAAAGCGUGGGGAGCAAACAGGGAUUAGAUACC
rnacentral:rRNA from 1 species